GCUGGGCAUGAUGGUACAGGCCUGUAAUCCCAGCUGCUCUGGAGGCUGAGGCAGGAGUAUUGCCAGUUCAAAGCCAGCCUUAGCAACUUAUGGAGACCCAACGUGAGACCCUGUCUCAA
rnacentral:sRNA from 1 species